CCUACGGGUGGCAGCAGUGGGGAAUAUUGGGCAAUGGGCGCAAGCCUGACCCAGCAACGCCGCGUGAAGGAAGAAGGCUUUCGGGUUGUAAACUUCUUUUAUCAGGGACGAAGCAAGUGACGGUACCUGAUGAAUAGGCCACGGCUGACUACGUGCCAGCAGGCGCGGUAAUACGUAGGUGGCAAGCGUUAUCCGGAUUCACUGGGUGUAAAGGGCGUGUAGGCGGGAAGGCAAGUCAGAUGUGAAAAUCAUGGGCACAACCUGUGGCGUGCAUUUGAAACUGUUUGUCUUGAGUACUGGAGAGGCAGACGGAAUGCGUGGUGUAGCGGUGAAAUGCGUAGAUAUUAGGAGGAACACCAGUGGCGAAGGCGGUCUGCUGGACAGCAACUGACGCUGAGGCGCGAAAGCGUGGGGAGCGAACAGGAUUAGAUACCCGAGUAGUC
rnacentral:rRNA from 1 species